GAUGAACGCUGGCGGCGUGCCUAAUACAUGCAAGUCGAGCGAACAGACGAGGAGCUUGCUCCUCUGACGUUAGCGGCGGACGGGUGAGUAACACGUGGAUAACCUACCUAUAAGACUGGGAUAACUUCGGGAAACCGGCGCUAAUACCGGAUAAUAUAUUGAACCGCAUGGUUCAAUAGUGAAAGACGGUUUUGCUGUCACUUAUAGAUGGAUACGCGCCGCAUUGGCUAGUUGGUAAGGUACCGGCUUACCAAGGCAACGAUGCGUAGCCGACCUGAUAGGGUGUACGGCCACACAGGAACUGAGACACGGCACAGAGUCCGACGGGAGGCAGCAGUAGGGAAUCGUCGGCAGUGGGCGAAAGCCUGACGGAGCAGCGCCGCGUGAGUGAUGAAGGGCUUCGGAUCGUAAAACUCUGUUAUGAGGGAAGAACAAAUGUGUAAGUAACGAUGCACGUCUUGACGGUACCGAAACAGAAAGCCACGGCUAACUACGU
rnacentral:rRNA from 1 species